AUUUCUUAUUCAAAAUGAUUUUAAAUUGCAAAUUUGAAGGUAACUAUCUAAGUUAGAAAUUUC
rnacentral:tRNA from 1 species